UGGGGAAUAUUGGACAAUGGGCGCAAGCCUGAUCCAGCCAUGCCGCGUGAGUGAUGAAGGCCCUAGGGUUGUAAAGCUCUUUCACCGGUGAAGAUAAUGACGGUAACCGGAGAAGAAGCCCCGGCUAACUUCGUGCCAGCAGCCGCGGUAAUACGAAGGGGGCUAGCGUUGUUCGGAUUUACUGGGCGUAAAGCGCACGUAGGCGGACUAUUAAGUCAUGGGUGAAAUCCCGGGGCUCAACCCCGGAACUGCCUUUGAUACUGGUAGUCUUGAGUUCGAGAGAGGUGAGUGGAAUUCCGAGUGUAGAGGUGAAAUUCGUAGAUAUUCGGAGGAACACCAGUAGCGAAGGCGGCUCACUGGCUCGAUACUGACGCUGAGGUGCGAAAGCGUGGGGAGCAAACAGG
rnacentral:rRNA from 1 species